UGCGGUUAGAAGAUCGAAACACCCCAGC
rnacentral:piRNA from 1 species